AUUGAACGCUGGCGGCAGGCCUAACACAUGCAAGUCGAACGAGUGGCGGACGGGUGAGUAAUGUCUGGGAAACUGCCCGAUGGAGGGGGAUAACUACUGGAAACGGUAGCUAAUACCGCAUACCAUCGGAUGUGCCCAGAUGGGAUUAGCUAGUAGGUGGGGUAACGGCUCACCUAGGCGACGAUCCCUAGCUGGUCUGCGAGGAUGACCAGCCAAACGGGACCGGAGACAGGGUCCGACUCCCUCGGGGGGGAAGCAGUGGGAAAUUUGGAACAAUGGGCGCAGGCCUGAUGCAGCCAUGCGGGGUGUAUGAAGAAGGCCUUCGGGUUGUAAAGUACUUUCAGCGAGGAGGCGUUACUCGCAGAAGAAGCACCGGCUAACUCCGUGCCAGCAGCCGCGGUAAUA
rnacentral:rRNA from 1 species